rnacentral:rRNA from 1 species
AUUGAACGCUGGCGGCAGGCCUAACACAUGCAAGUCGAGCGGCAGCGGAAAGUAGCUUGCUACUUCGCCGGCGAGCGGCGGACGGGUGAGUAAUGUCUGGGAAACUGCCUGAUGGAGGGGGAUAACUACUGGAAACGGUAGCUAAUACCGCAUAACGUCGCAAGACAAAAGAGGGGGACCUUCGGGCCUCUUGCCAUCAGAUGUGCCCAGAUGGGAUUAGCUAGUAGGUGGGGUAACGGCUCACCUAGGCGACGAUCCCUAGCUGGUCUGAGAGGAUGACCGGCCACACUGGAACUGAGACACGGUCCAGACUCCUACGGGAGGCAGCAGUGGGGAAUAUUGCACAAUGGGCGCAAGCCUGAUGCAGCCAUGCCGCGUGUAUGAAGAAGGCCUUCGGGUUGUAAAGUACUUUCAGCGGGGAGGAAGGUGUUGAGGUUAAUAACCUCAGCAAUUGACGUUACCCGCAGAAGAAGCACCGGCUAACUCCGUGCCAGCCGCCGCAGUAAGAC